GCCUUCAAAAUGAAUAAAAAUUAAAGUGCUUGAAAGCACUGAGGGUAUAGAUUUCUUCAAUUUAUCAGUGGGAAGUAAAAGUAAAUAUUGCAUUGAUUGUAGUUGAUUUAACAGCAAUUCUAGACAAAGGAUGAUAACUCCAAUUGUUCCAAGAUGAGUUAAACAAUGACACCAUUUAUAUUUUUAGAACAGAUAUUAGAUUCCUGCACCUUUCAAAAGUCAUGUAUUUUUUUGACAAGUGUAACAUCAUUUUGUGCUUAUAAUAUCUGAGCAUAUAUUACAUUGAUAAAUUUCUGGAAAUGUUCAUGGACAAACCUUGGAAGAUUUAUAUAUCAAUCCAGUCUCAUAAGGUUUUGAUUGCAUUUCAUGCAAUCUUUACCUAAAAAUCAAAAGCUAUCAACAGUA
rnacentral:lncRNA from 1 species